GCAAGUCGAGGGGUAACAGGAAAGCUUGCUUUCGCUGACGACCGGCGCACGGGUGCGUAACGCGUAUGCAACCUACUUCAUACUGGAGGAUAGCCCCUGGACACGGGGAUUAAUACUCCAUAGUAUCACGAAUUCGCAAGUUUUUGUGAUUAAAGUUAUUCGGUUUGAGAUGAGCAUGCGUCCCAUUAGCUUGUUGGUGAGGUAACGGCUCACCAAGGCAACGAUGGGUAGGUGGCCUGAGAGGAUGGUC
rnacentral:rRNA from 1 species